CCAGGAGAGGCGCGUCGCCCAGGCAGUAUGUUGGAGGAACCGUAUCCCGCGAUAACAUACCAGGGGGAGCGACGCCGAGAUACCCACCACACGGAGUGGGUGGUAUCGACCGCAGGGGCUGAAUCCUCUGGGUUGUCACCAGUAACGUUCGCCUGUCGGACGCUUUACAAGGUGGAGCACUUCUGGGUG
rnacentral:ncRNA from 1 species